GAAAGUAAAGAAGGGCGCAUGGCGGAUGCCUUGGCUCUCGGAGGCGAUGAAGGACGUGAUAAGCUGCGAUAAGCUUUGGGGAGGUGCAAAUGACCUUUGAUCCAGAGAUUUCCGAAUGGGACAACCCAAUAUCUUGAAGAGGUAUUAUCCAACGUUGUUGGAGGCUAACGCAGGGAACUGAAACAUCUUAGUACCUGCAGGAAAAGAAAAUAAACAAUGAUUCCCCCAGUAGUGGCGAGCGAACGGGGAACAGCCCAAACCAUCCAUGUUACGGCAUGGGUGGGGUUGUAGGACUACGCCGUUGCAUGAAGACAUCAGAGAAGAACUUUCUGGAAAGAAAGACCAUAGAGCAUGACAGUUGCGUAUUCGAAUGUUGUCGAAGCAUAGUAGUAUCCUGAGUAGCGCGGAGCACGAGGAAUUCUGCGUGAAUCUGCCGGGACCAUCCGGUAAGGCUAAAUACUCCCGAGAGACCGAUAGCGAACCAGUACCGUGAGGGAAAGGUGAAAAGCACUUCGAACAGAAGAGUGAAAUAGUUCCUGAAACCGUGCGCCUACAAGCGGUCGGAGCUCGUUAAUGAGUGACGGCGUGCCUUUUGCAUAAUGAACCUACGAGUUGCCUUUGCCGGCAAGGUUAAGUGUGACGACACACGUAUCCGAAGCGAAAGCGAGUCUGAACAGGGCGUAUAGUCGGCAGUGGCAGACGCGAAACCAAGUGAUCUACCCUUGGCCAGGUUGAAGGCUGGGUAACACCAGCUGGAGGACCGCACCAAUAAGCGUUGAAAAGCUUCUGGAUGAGCUGAGGGUAGGGGUGAAAGGCUAAUCAAACUUGGAGAUAGCUCGUACUCCCCGAAAUGCAUUUAGGUGCAGCCUUGCGGGUUACUGAUGUGAGGUAGAGCGACUGAUAAGAUGCGAGGGCUUCACCGCCUAUCAAGUCUUGACAAACUCCGAAUGCGUGUCAGUUCUAUGUCAGGAGUGAGGGCAUGGGUGCUAAGGUCCAUGUCCUAAAGGAGAACAAUCCGGACCAACAGCUAAGGUCCCUAAAUGAAUACUAAGUUGAACUAACGAAGUCAGAUUGCUAAGACAGCUAGGAUGUUGGCUUGGAAGCAGCCAUUCAUUUAAAGAGUGCGUAACAGCUCACUAGUCGAGGAGUCGGGCGUGGAUAAUAAUCGGGUAUUAAGUUGUCUACCGAAGCAGUGGGAUCAUUAAUAUGAUCGGUAGGGGAGCAUUCCAGUCAGCGUCGAAGGCGUACCGUGAGGUAUUCUGGAGCGUCUGGAAAAGCAAAUGUAGGUAUAAGUAACGAUAAAGGGGGCGGGAAACCCCCUCGCCGAAAGACUAAGGUUUCCUGAUCAACGCUAAUCGGAUCAGGGUCAGUCGGGUCCUAAGGCUCAGCCGAACGGCGAUGCCGAUGGCAGAAACGGUUAAUAUUCCGUUACUACCUUCAGGAGUGACGUGGAGACGCAGUAGUGACAGUGCCGCCAUCUGACGGAAUAGAUGGUUGAAGGGUGUAGGAGUCGAUCAUGGCAGGCAAAUCCACCAUGAGAUCCGAACCUGACAGUAUGCCGCGUCCUUCGGGACAAGGCAAUAGUGCGCGUAAGCAUGCUGCCGAGAAAAUCCGCUAAACUUAAUCCUGCAGGUACCCGUACCGCAAACGGACACACGUAGUCGGGUUGAAUAUACUAAGGCGCUUGAGUGAUUCACGGUUAAGGAACUAGGCAAACUGACCCUGUAACUUCGGGAUAAAGGGUCCCUACCCUUUUAUGGGAGGGCGCAGAGAAUCGGUCCAGGCAACUGUUUAACAAAAACACAGGGCUGUGCCAAAUCGAAAGAUCCAGUAUACAGCCUGACACCUGCCCGGUGCUGGAAGGUUAAGAGGAGAUGUCAUCGCAAGAGAAGCAUUGAAUUGAAGCCCCAGUAAACGGCGGCCGUAACUAUAACGGUCCUAAGGUAGCGAAAUUCCUUGUCGGGUAAGUUCCGACC
rnacentral:rRNA from 1 species